CCUACGGGGGGCAGCAGUGAGGAAUAUUGGUCAAUGGACGAGAGUCUGAACCAGCCAAGUAGCGUGAAGGAUGACUGCCCUAUGGGUUGUAAACUUCUUUUAUAUGGGAAUAAAACGUUCCACGUGUGGGCUUUUGUAUGUACCAUAUGAAUAAGGAUCGGUUAACUCCGUGCCAGCAGCCGCGGUAAUACGGAGGAUCCGAGCGUUACCCGGAUUUCUUGGGUUUAAAGGGAGCGUAGGUGGAUUUUUAAGUCAGUUGUGAAAGUUUGCGGCUCAACCGUAAAAUUGCAGUUGAAACUGGCAGUCUUGAGUACAGUAGAGGUGGGCGGAAUUCGUGGUGUAGCGGUGAAAUGCUUAGAUAUCACGAAGAACUCCGAUUGCGAAGGCAGCUCACUGGACUGCAACUGACACUGAGGCUCGAAAGUGUGGGUAUCAAACAGGAUUAGAUACCCUUGUAGUC
rnacentral:rRNA from 1 species